rnacentral:rRNA from 1 species
UACGUAGGGGCCGAGCGUUGUCCGGAGUUAUUGGGCGUAAAGCGCGCGCAGGCGGCCUCGCGCGCCCGACGUGAAAGCCCCCGGCUUAACCGGGGAGGGUCGUUGGGGACGGCGGGGCUUGAGGGCGGGAGAGGUCGGUGGAAUUCCCGGUGUAGUGGUGAAAUGCAUAGAUAUCGUCAAGAACACCGAUAGCGAAGGCAGCUUACCAAGCUGUAACUGACACUGAGGCACGAAAGUGUGGGGAUCAAACAGG